GGCUGGUCCGAUGGCAGUGGAAAUCGAAAGCAUUUGCAACAGUCUACGUCUCUUCUCUACUCCCUUCACUGCCAACCUUGACUAGCUUUUU
rfam:Oryzias latipes DNA, chromosome20, strain: Hd-rR.